rnacentral:ncRNA from 2 species
AUGAUAACAAGGGGAGAGACCAUGCAAAUGGCGCCGAAGGAGCAACUGAAGAAGUGAAUCUCUCAGGCAAAAAGACUCUUGUUGGACG